CACUGAUUAAUUCCCAGGCUCAUGAGAUCUGUUUCACAGCCUACUUGACCAUCUCAUUCACCCAGGGUAGCCUACCUUUCUCCUCUUUCUUCCCUGAGGUCUCAAAUAGGUAAGUCUAGGGGAAUGUUGUGCACGAAUGGCUGAGUCUUAUGUGAUGCCCUUACUCUUUUCCUGGUGCCUGUUAGAAGUUUAUCUUUCUGUACUUCCAUCUGUAGUGACUGGACAAGGGAGAUGGUAAGCCUUUUCAGUCAAUGAGGGGGAAAGAAAAGAAACUGUACUAUUUUUGUCUAAUUAGAGCCACUUCUUAAUUGUCUCAUUUGGAGAAACAGAUAUGCCAAAUAAAAUUCAAAACUCCAUUCAAGUCAAACUUAAUUUCAUAAUCACUUCCCCUUCUAGUCUUCCUGUUACAAAAAAUUGGCUUGAGACUAUAUUAGUCUAUUUAGUAUCCUAUAACAAAAUACCAUAUGCUGGGAAGUUAACUACAGUAAUUUAUUUCUCACAGUCUAGAGACUAGAAGUCUCAAAAUGAAAG
rnacentral:lncRNA from 1 species